UGGGGAAUAUUGCACAAUGGGCGCAAGCCUGAUGCAGCCAUGCCGCGUGUAUGAAGAAGGCCUUCGGGUUGUAAAGUACUUUCAGCGGGGAGGAAGGCGAUAAGGUUAAUAACCUUGUCGAUUGACGUUACCCGCAGAAGAAGCACCGGCUAACUCCGUGCCAGCCGCCGCGGUAAUAAGGAGGGGGCAAGCGUUAAUCGGAGUUACUGGGCGUAAAGCGCACGCAGGCGGUCUGUCAAGUCGGAUGUGAAAUCCCCGGGCUCAACCUGGGAACUGCAUUCGAAACUGGCAGGCUAGAGUCUUGUAGAGGGGGGUAGAAUUCCAGGUGUAGCGGUGAAAUGCGUAGAGAUCUGGAGGAAUACCGGUGGCGAAGGCGGCCCCCUGGACAAAGACUGACGCUCAGGUGCGAAAGCGUGGGGAGCAAACA
rnacentral:rRNA from 1 species